CUUGAUCGACCCGAUCAGCAGGGGAUACUCGCGCUCCUGGCCAUACGUGGAGAGCAGCGCCUGCGCCUC
rnacentral:antisense_RNA from 1 species